AUGGACGCCAAGCUGAUGGCGGCCACCGACGGUGGCGAUGUCAACAAGUUGAAGGUUGGGCUGAACAAGGAGGAUGCCAUGUUGAUGGUUGAUGCGACGGCGACGAGUAAGAAGCCUUCCGAAGAGGACCAAUCCCCAGCUGGUAUCAUCAACCCCUUGCUUCUGUUAUCGGCGCGUGAGGGCUCCUUGAUGGCGUUGAAUGUCCUUUUAGAGAGGGAAGACGCAAAACGUCCACCACUGAUGAUUAUUUCUCAAGAAUUUCUCGAGUUGGUAGAGGGAGGCAGCAGUGCCCAAGGAAGAACUGCAGUGUCAAUUGUUGGUGAUGUAGAAGGGGGCGUCGAUGAUCAGCCUGCUGCUUCACUUGCAGUUGGAGCACUCCUCAAGGGCGUCACUCCUGAUGGUGAUACUGCACUACAUGUGGUCGCGCAGAAUCAGGAAAAUGGCAAACAUUUCCUGGAGUACGCCGGCAUCAUCUACGAAAGGGGCAGGGGCCUCCUGUUUGCCAAGAAUCACAGGGGUGACACACCCUUGCAUUGUGCUGCCCGAGCUGGGAACUCCAAAAUGGUUUCUCAUCUCAUGAAUCUAGCUGCACGUUCGGGUGCUGACAUGAAGCUCAGGCUCCUGAGAAUGGAAAAUAAGCGUCACGAGACAGCCCUCCACGAGGCUGUCCGAUUUGAAGAUGGUCGAUUUCUGGGUCGGAAAGAGAGAAGGGCAUUGAUUGAUGCUACUACUCACACCGCCGCAGAAGAAAGGAAUAAGGAUGAUGCUGCCGGCGCACAGGAAGAAAAGAAUAUAGUCAAACUGCUGAUGGGUGCUGAUCCAGAGUUAGCUAAUUAUCCUGCAGAUGGCGUUUCACCCUUGUAUCUAGCCAUCUUGCUGGGGAAGAGUACAAUUGCAUUGAUUCUGUACGAUAAGAGUGGUGGCAAUCUCUCCUAUUCCGGAGCAAAUGGACAAAAUGCCUUGCAUGUUGGUGUUCUUCCACACAGAGACUCAGUGAUGAUGGAGUUCCUAGUGCAUUGGAACAAAAGCCUUACUACCCAAGUGGACAAAGAUGGGAGAACGCCACUUCACUUUGCUUCAUCGCUGAUUUUACGGACUGGCUCGUAUCUGACACUUGAGCUCCUUGGCAGACCCCCUUGGUGUCAUUUUGUAUGGAUUCCCCGGAGAUCUACAUCGGUGCUCGAGAUAGUAUUCAAAGCAAACCCCGCAGCAUUGUAUCAAGCAGACAAGAAUGGAUCAUUCCCCAUACAUUUGGCUGCCUCUGUAGGUGCCAAAGAGGCCAUACUGUUUUUCCGUGACAAGUAUCCGCAUUGUGUUGGAUUGCGUGACGCUGAAGGAAGAACAUUCCUUCAGGUCGCUGUUGAGAAAGAAAUACUGGGCAUACUCUUCUACGUAUGUGAAACUCCAUCUUUAGCUUGGAUUCUGAAUAUGCAAGACAAUGAUGGAAACACUGCACUGCACUUAGCUAUCCAAUCUCGGAACUUUAGGAUGUUCUGCGCUCUAUUUGGGAAUCCAGAGGUGAAUCUGAAUAUAACAAAUUACAAGGGGGAAACUCCGUUGGAUUUAUCCAUUAUUAGUAAGCUUUCAUACGGAUUGAAUUUUAUAGAGAACUCUGAGCAUAAAAUAUGCCACGCCUUGAAGUCAGUUGGGGCAAACUAUGGUGUCAUUCGCUGGGAUAAGGCUGAGGAACCAUUCCGUCGGCCAUCAAACCCAGAGGAGGAGGACCAAGCAUCACGGAGGCUGAAAGAUGCAGCACAAACCUGUGUUGUUGCUUCAGUCCUAAUAGCAACUGUUGCGUUCAGUGCAACUUUGGCCAUCCCUGGAGGUUAUAGAGCUGAUGAUCAUACAAAUGAAGGCACACCAAUAUAUGCCGGGAGUUAUCUUUUUGACGCGUUCAUUAUGUCCACCACAUUAGCUUUCAUAUGCUCUUCUCUAGCUACCCUUGGCUACACGUUUUCUGCAAGUCCCUUUGUUAACUUGGUCACCCGCGAAGUCUACACAGUCUUAUCCGUGCUUUCCUUCUCGAGUUCAUUCGUAUGCAUGUCUAUUGCAUUUGCACUGGGUGUGUAUAUGGUGCUAGCCCCGGUUGCUCGUAAUACUGCCGUUGCGGUCUGUGUUAUUACUCCGACCAUAUGGCUUGGUACAAAUGUGGAUAGUAUUUUCAAGUUGGUUAUUCUUGCACGACCGCUAUGUAUUAGAAAGGGUCUAUUCAAAGGAAUGGUACAAUUACUAAGGAUGUACGCGCUCUUAGUGGUCACUACACUUUGGCCCUUCAUAGUUACCUUUGGUUGGGCUGCGUUGGCAAGAAUCCACCGUCACCGCUAA
rnacentral:rRNA from 1 species